AAGUGACAGAAAAAUUAUUAGAUUCAUCUAAAGAUCAAAGACAGUCUUGAAGAGAAAUACAAGAGCGGAUUGAUUUUCUGGGCUCGUGAAGAUCGGAGGAAUACAACAACGAAUUGAUUUUCUGGGUUCGUGAAGAGUGAAUUGAUUUUCUGUUCGAUUAAUAAUAUGAUGUCAAGUGUACAAGAGCAAGAGUUACCAGAACCAGACCAUUUCAAGGAUGUUAUGAGUGCUGAUGAUGAAGAUGAUGAUGUUGAGAUGUUAUGAAUGUAUGAUACUAUGAUAGUAUCUGUGUGACUGUGUCUGUGUUUCUUUAA